ensembl:lncRNA
GCCGGGAUCCAGCCCUUCCCAGACUUCAUUUAAAGGUUGGCAGUGGAGGUGAGGGUGUUUUCUUGGAGAUCCCUCCUUAGCUGAAGUCUUCUAAGGAACCUGUUCUGCAUAAGUAAAGCAGAGCCAGUGUGUUGGAUUCAGUCUCUAAACAAAGAAGCCGUAAGCUGACUAGAAGCAGCAGUGGAGGUACUUCAUGUAACAUUUCCUCCUGCAAGAAAUCCUUCUUUCGUGUUCUUCACUGUCCUUGUGCACCAAGGAGGAACUAGACCUGUGAUGUUUGUUGAAGUUGAAUUUCACAGAUUCAUGUGGAUAGCUAUGUGGAUGUAUUUGUGUUGAAUCUCUCUGAUGUAAUUGUACCGUUAUUUAUCAUCUUAGGAAAUCAUUGCAUUUCAACAACAGCUAGUUUCCAAUCCAUUUUUCUGUUCAUCUUUGUGAUAUGAUCGCUGUUUAGAAGCACAAAAAUCAUCAUAGUUUCAACAUACAAGAAGAACACAGUGCACAGGAAACUAGUGCUUUUAGAACAGAAGACACUGCACAAUGUGAGGUACUGCUGGAGAAGAGUAUCCAAGUACUUUAAUAUCCAGUGAUGCAGAUGUGUUAUCUGCUUUGGUUUUUAAUGUAAUCAAGAUUUUUUUUUUCUUUAUAUUAAAUCACUCAUGGAGGGGAAAAAGAAACACCUUACAGGUUCUGUGACUCACUGCACCCAGGUUCUUCCGAAUUUCCAGUAUGCCUCGAGCUCUGUGUGUCUUUGGAUGGUACUCUUCACCUAUGUUCCUAAUGAAAUGAUUACCUUCUGUAAAUAUCAAGUCUUGUUAAGUGAUCAGCCUCAAUACAAGAGCCCUCUGCAGCUCAAAUCACACAGAAUAAAAUCUAAAACGGUUACUAUCAGGAGGUUUUCAUUAGAGGAGUGCAAACAAAAUUGUCAAAGUAUAAGAUUAUGUGAUUAUAAUAAUCAAGAGGAAUUAGACAUGGAGAAAGGGGGAAAUGAUAAAAAAAAAAAAAAGCAUCAGAACGUAAAGAACAUCCAUAGAAAGCAGAUGGUUCAAAUUUAUCUUGGGGAGGAAAGUUUAUAGUAACUGGAAAAUCCACAUCAUUUUUGACAUUGUCUGGUAUGAUAAGCUGGUAGUUGAAUAAUAGGCAAGGCAUCAACUACACGGAUGUUAAUUUCUGUAUUAGAAUAUUCUUUUCCUGCAGAGGUCGUGGUUUACUUCAUUUCAUUUUGAAGGUUGUGAAUUUGUAAAGGGAAUCUGUGAUUGCUCUCUGAUUAAUAAGUAGAGGCUAUUUAAGUGUUAGUUUGAACGGCCCGUGUUUACUAUAACCUCACAGUUUGUAUACCAGUCAAAAUUA